AUUGAACGCUAGCGGGAUGCCUUACACAUGCAAGUCGAACGGAGUGGCGAACGGGUGAGUAAUGCCUAGGAACGUGCCCAGUAGCGGGGGAUAACUACGCGAAAGCGUAGCUAAUACCGCAUACUAUUGGAUGGGCCGAUAUCGGAUUAGCUAGUUGGUGGGGUAACGGCUCACCAAGGCGACGAUCCGUAGCUGGUUUGAGAGGACGACCAGUCACACUGGGACUGAGACACGGCCCAGACUCCUACGGGAGGCAGCAGUGGGGAAUUUUGGACAAUGGGGGAAACCCUGAUCCAGCCAUGCCGCGUGUGCGAUGAAGGCCUUCGGAUUGUAAAGCACUUUGAGUAGGAAAGCGUUACCAGCAGAAUAAGCACCGGCUAACUACGUGCCAGCAGCCGCGGUAAUAC
rnacentral:rRNA from 1 species